rnacentral:rRNA from 1 species
CAGUCGCCGCGGUAAUACGGAGGGUGCAAGCGUUAAUCGGAAUUACUGGGCGUAAAGCGUGCGUAGGCGGUUCGUUAAGUCUGUUGUGAAAGCCCCGGGCUCAACCUGGGAAUGGCAAUGGAUACUGGCGAGCUAGAGUGUGUCAGAGGAUGGUGGAAUUCCCGGUGUAGCGGUGAAAUGCGCAGAGAUCGGGAGGAACAUCAGUGGCGAAGGCGGCCAUCUGGGACAACACUGACGCUGAGGCACGAAAGCGUGGGGAGCAAACAGGAUUAGAUACCCCGGUAGUCCCUGUCUCUUAUAU